rnacentral:rRNA from 1 species
UACAGAGGGUGCGAGCGUUGUCCGGAAUCACUGGGCGUAAAGGGCGCGUAGGUGGCGAGCCAAGUCCAUGGUGAAAGCUCGAUGCUCAACAUCGAGUCGGCCACGGAUACUGGUGCGCUGGAGCACUGUAGAGGCUCAUGGAAUUCCGGGUGUAGCGGUGGAAUGCGUAGAGAUCCGGAAGAACACCGGUGGCGAAGGCGGUGAGCUGGGCAGUUGCUGACACUGAGGCGCGACAGCGUGGGGAGCAAACAGG